GAUCAUGGCUCAGGAUGAACGCUAGCUACAGGGCUUAACACAUGCAAGUCGAGGGGCAGCGCAGUUGUAGCAAUACAUGGGCGGCGACCGGCGCACGGGUGCGUAACGCGUAUCCAACCUUCCCGUUACUCAGGGAUAGCCUUCCGAAAGGGAGAUUAAUACCUGAUGGUGUUCAAAUUCCGCAUGUUAUUUGAACUAAAGAUUUAUCGGUAACGGAUGGGGAUGCGUGACAUUAGGUAGAUGGCGGGGUAACGGCCCACCAUGCCUACGAUGUCUAGGGGUUCUGAGAGGAAGGUCCCCCACACUGGAACUGAGACACGGUCCAGACUCCUACGGGAGGCAGCAGUGAGGAAUAUUGGUCAAUGGUCGGAAGACUGAACCAGCCAAGUAGCGUGAAGGAUGAAGGUUCUAUGGAUUGUAAACUUCUUUUAUAUAGGAAUAAAACCUCCCACGUGUGGGAGCUUGUAUGUACUAUAUGAAUAAGCAUCGGCUAACUCCGUG
rnacentral:rRNA from 1 species